rnacentral:rRNA from 1 species
UACGGAGGAUGCAAGCGUUAUCCGGAAUGAUUGGGCGUAAAGCGUCCGCAGGUGGCUAUGUAAGUCUGCUGUUAAAGAGUGAGGCUCAACCUCAUAAGAGCAGUGGAAACUACAUGGCUAGAGUGCGUUCGGGGCAGAGGGAAUUCCUGGUGUAGCGGUGAAAUGCGUAGAUAUCUGGAGGAAUACCGGUGGCGAAGGCGGCAUCCUGGACCGGGCAUUGACGCUGAGGAGCGAAAGCCAGGGGAGCAAAGCAGG